GAUGAACGCUAGCUACAGGCUUAACACAUGCAAGUCGAGGGGAAACGGCAUUUAGUGCUUGCACCGAAUGGACGUCGACCGGCGCACGGGUGAGUAACGCGUAUCCAACCUACCCAUUACUGUGGGAUAACCUGCCGAAAGGCAGACUAAUACCGCAUAGUCUUCGAUGACGGCAUCAGAUUUGAAGUAAAGAUUUAUCGGUAAUGGAUGGGGAUGCGUCUGAUUAGCUUGUUGGCGGGGUAACGGCCCACCAAGGCGACGAUCAGUAGGGGUUCUGAGAGGAAGGUCCCCCACAUUGGAACUGAGACACGGUCCAAACUCCUACGGGAGGCAGCAGUGAGGAAUAUUGGUCAAUGGACGAGAGUCUGAACCAGCCAAGUAGCGUGCAGGAUGACGGCCCUAUGGGUUGUAAACUGCUUUUGUAUGGGGAUAAAGUCAAUCACGUGUGAUUGUUUGCAGGUACCAUACGAAUAAGGACCGGCUAAUUCCGUGCCAGCAGCCGCGGUAAUACGGAAGGUCCGGGCGUUAUCCGGAUUUAUUGGGUUUAAAGGGAGCGUAGGCCGGAGAUUAAGUGUGUUGUGAAAUGUAGACGCUCAACGUCUGACUUGCAGCGCAUACUGGUUUCCUUGAGUACGCACAACGUUGGCGGAAUUCGUCGUGUAACGGUGAAAUGCUUAGAUAUGACGAAGAACUCCGAUUGCGAAGGCAGCUGACGGGAGCGCAACUGACGCUUAAGCUCGAAGGUGCGGGUAUCGAACAGG
rnacentral:rRNA from 1 species